UCUGAGUAAAAAAAGGUAAUACUCUAUAGGAAACCCAUACCCCUUGGCGGCCCUUUUUCUUAUCGGAGGAAUUUGUCCAGUAAUCGAAAUUACCCGCUCUUUCUCUCUAUUAUUUAGUUUUUAUACCGUCGUCUUAAGAUUAUCAUUAAAUAGAUUAAUCCUAAUCAGAUAGUUUAAUAAGUCAGAUCAAGGUGAAGCUUAUAUAACAGAUCGGGUGAAUUAUUUAUUAGAUCUACUAAAGGACUUGUCUUCAAAAAGUUAUCCGAAUUAAGAUCCAACAGUACCUAUAAAAUUAAAAAUUCUAAGGGAAGAAGUAAAAUAAGGUGU
rnacentral:rRNA from 1 species